CCAACAACAACUACAGAUACCCCAACAACAACCGCAGCUGAAAUAACAAUUACAGAUGCCCCAACAACAACCACAGUUGAACCAACAACUACAGAUGCCCCAACAACAACCACAGUUGAACCAACAACAACGACAGCUGAACCAACAACAACUACAGAAACACCAAUAACAAUCACAUCUGGACUAACAUCAACAACAGCUUUCCCUAUGACAAGCACUGCUGUUCCAACGACAAGUACAGUUACUCAAAUAACGACAAAACGGGUGACUUUUAGAUCUGCUGGAGAAACGUUCUCAAUUGAUUUGGGAAAUGCAUCAUCUGAAGCAUUCACUCAUCGAGCUGAACUGUUAAAGUCAACACUUCAACCUCUUUACCAAAACACAUUUGAUUCAUUCAACUCCUUGACAGUGGUUUCAUUCAGCAAUGGGUCAAUUAUAAACAACAUGGAUCUUGGAUUUGCAUCAACAUCUCUUCCUAAUAACACUCAAAUUGCAAGUGUUUUGAUUGGAGUGGCUUCUAACACCACAACCUUUAACAUUGACAUCAAUAACAUUUCUGUGG